rnacentral:rRNA from 1 species
UACGUAGGGACCAAGCGUUGUUCGGAUUCAUUGGGCGUAAAGGGUGUGUAGGUGGCGCCGUAAGUCGGGUGUGAAAUUUCGGAGCUUAACUCCGAAACUGCAUUCGAUACUGCGGUGCUUGAGGACUGGAGAGGAGACUGGAAUUCAUGGUGUAGCAGUGAAAUGCGUAGAGAUCAUGAGGAAGACCAGUGGCGAAGGCGGGUCUCUGGACAGUUCCUGACACUGAGACACGAAGGCCAGGGGAGCAAACGGG